rnacentral:rRNA from 1 species
GAUGAACGCUGGCGGCGUGCCUAAUACAUGCAAGUCGAGCGGACGGACGAGACGCUUGCUUCUUUGAUGUUAGCGGAGGAGGGGUGUGUAACACGUGGAUAACCUACCUAUAAGACUGGGAUAUUUUCGGGAAACCGGAGCAAGUACCGGAUAAUAUUUUGAACCGCAUGGUUGAAAUGUGAAAGUCGGUCUUGCUGUAACUUAUAGAUGGAUCUGCGCUGCAUUAGCUAGUUGUUAAGGUAACGGCUUACCAAGGCAACGAUGCAUAGCCGACCUCAGAGGCGGAUCGCCCACACGGGAACUGAGCCACCCUCCUGACUCCUUCGUUAGGCAGCAGAAGGCAAUGGUCCGCAGUAGUCGGAAGCAUGACGGAACAACGCCGCGUCAGAUGUGGAGGUCUUCGGUUCGUAAUGCUCUGUUAUUAGUUAAGAACCGAUUUGGAAGUAACUGUGCACAUCUUGACGGUACCUAAUCAAAAAGCAACGGCUAACUACGUG